CCUGGGGGUUGACAAUUUUACGGAACGGGACUGUCUCAUGCUAGCGGACAUUCCCUAUGAAUGAUUUGCAUCCAAUUAUUCCUUAACGGAAAAUUCGAUUCAACGUCAUUCUUCGUUUUUAUGUCCUUUUAAGUAUCUCUAGAUGAAGAGAACGACGGAAGUUGAUUUUGUUGGAAUCGAAAAUGCAAGAAUUAAAACCGGUUGAUCAUAGUUAUUACAUUAUACGUCGAGAAUGACAGAGAGGACGGAGAGGAUAUGAAAGGGAGAGAGAAAGAGAUACUCGUUCCCUCCUCGUACUUGGAUGCUGGAUAGAUGUGGCGCAAUAUCGGGAAAAAAUUCCAUGUUUAUUAGCCAAUCGCGAAAGACAUAAAAAAUGAUCAUCCAGAGUGUACAAUGUGUCAUGCGCAAACGAUGACUCCACUGCAUUAGAUGUCAUAAAUAUCACAACGUUCACCAGAUGGGCGCUUCUUGUAUCGGCGUGUAAGAUAGCCAGGUGCCGAUGUGUAUUGUAUGACUAAUCAUCGUGAGGAAAAUAGCUAACAAUGAUGCGUAAUUGACGUCUAUGGCGCUUCUACAUACGUUGUAUAAAAUGAUAUUCGUGUAUCCGGUCUUAUGUUUCCAAACAAGUUUCAUCGACGAAUACCAGCAGAGAUUUAUUCAAAUCAAAUCGCAAUCGAUGCCGAGAUAAAUACGACGCUGGAAGUAGCUCAAGUUCGAAUGCAAAAUUAUAAAUAUAUGAAACGAGGAAUGCGAGGAAGGCGGAUCGCGACCGACGAGGGAUUGAAGCGUGAAGGAAUCGCAGAUUUGAUCUCCCAUAAUAGAGGAACUUUGCUCCCGGCUUGGA